rnacentral:rRNA from 1 species
UACAGAGGUCUCAAGCGUUGUUCGGAUUCAUUGGGCGUAAAGGGUGCGUAGGCGGCGCGGUAAGUCGGGUGUGAAAUCUCGGAGCUUAACUCCGAAACUGCAUUCGAUACUGCCGUGCUUGAGGACUGGAGAGGAGACUGGAAUUCAUGGUGUAGCAGUGAAAUGCGUAGAUAUCAGGAGGAAUACCGGUGGUGUAGACGGCUCUCUGGACCGCAACUGACGCUGAAACACGAAAGCGUGGGUAGCAAACAGG